UGUUGUUGUGAUUUGGCGCUAUAUAAAUAAAUUGAUUUGAUUUGAUUUAAAUGUCACAAAUGGGAAACAUAUAUACACACACAAUUUAAAUAAAAUGGAAUCAGAAUAGUUUACUGCAGUGAGCAUUUGCUAUAGUGUGUAUUAGAAAGUGGAAUUGCAUCUGUCUCAUCUUUGAAUUCACAGCCUUUAUACGCUCGAUGGCUGUCUGAUUAAAGAUCCAAAGCAGUUGAAGAGCCACGAACAUUACGUUGCUGUCAGCGUAGGAAGUUUUAAACCUGCUCUCUAUGGACAGGAAGUCCCAGCACCCUCCACAAACAGCAAGAAUGAACGGUAUGAGGCCAGAAAAGAGAAAAUUAAAAUACAUUUUCUUUGUAUUCUCACAUGGCUCUCAUGUCAAAGAACAUUUGUUAACCUUGGCAUUGUGUUUCCUCCCUACAGCAAAAGAACUGUGACUGCUGUUCGAAAAAAGUGUCAUGCACAGGACAAGACCAAGCCUGUUCUCAAGAAAGUCCAGGAAACUGUUCCCAAGAAAAGAAAAGUUGAGUUUUGCCCAAUACAGGUGUAUGCUAAUGGACAACCUCAGGUUCCUCCAGUCCUCAUCAGGAUCCCUAAAUACGCACUGAUGAACUUAGAUAAUGUGAUCACCAUGGUGGCGAGCAGAAUGUGUCUUCACGGUGGAGUGAACAGGUAGUGAACAAGAUCAAUAAUUUGUAAAUCUGAGCCAACAAAAGCUCCAAUACUCAAUAUGCUGACUGCAGUAAAUCUAUAACUGAUUUACAAAAUAAUUACUGAAAACUAAUUUACCCAUAUUGUCUGGAGUAUGUAUAAGUCACAGAGUUAAAAAAGGCCUCUUGAAGUGUAAAAACCCUUAUAUACAGUACAUCUGGAAUGUAUUCACAGCACUUCACUUUUUCUGCAAUUGAUUAUGUUGUAGCCUUAUUUCAAAAUGGACAAAAUUAUUAUUUUUUUC